GCCCGAAUAGAAAUUGACAAGCUGGAGGACUCAGAGAUAACUCGACAGACUACGGAGGUCCCGUAGAUUAUCCUUCAUAAGAGUACGGCUUAGAGAAAAACUCGAAGAAUUGGUUCGGAUAGAGAUUGAUAGGCUAGAGGAUCCAAAGAUAACUUGAUGGGAUACAAAGGUCCCAUAAAUUAUCCUCCACAGGAGUAUGGCUUGGAGAAAAAUUCGAUGAGCUGGUUCAGAUAGAGAUCGAUAGGC
rnacentral:lncRNA from 1 species